rnacentral:misc_RNA from 1 species
UAGUCGAACUUUGUUCUCGACUAAUGAGUGGCAAUAUAUUCGACGCCCAAGGUAAUCUAAGUCAACUUCCAAGUGGGGAGUUCGUUUUGGGUUUUCCAAAACGAACGAUGAUCUGCGGCAACAUCGGGAAUUAUGUGGCGUCGACGAAAGUCUUGCCACUUCUCGAUGUUGUUGACCCGUCUCCUGAUUUUGAAUCUCUUGAACGAACGAUGAUCUGUGGCAACAUCGGGAAUUAUGUGGCGUCGACAAAAGUCGUGCCACUUCUCGAAGUUGUUGACCCGUCUCCUGAUUUUGAAUCUCUUGUUUCGUUUUCCGAUGAUAUUCGUUAAAAGAUGCGGCUAUGGCUGGUUGCUUGGGGAUCUUAGUUUGACUUUGAUCUUAGUUUUAAGGUUAAUUGGUUUUUUAUUGAGAUUCGCAUGAUCCGUCUGAUUGUAUGGCAUGUUCUUGUUUGAUUGUUGCCUUAUGAUUGGAUUGUUCGUGUAAUCGAUGACAUGAUGUGACUUGUUAAUCUUAAAACUUGUGAUGGCGAUUUGGCAUUGUUGCAUUUGUUGAUGAGUAUUGUUGAACGAAUAUGCAAGUGUUUCUUGGUAGCUCAUUUGUCUGAUGCGUCGUUGAUGAAAUUCGUCUCAAUAGGAUGUGGUGUCAUGUUGUUUGUUGAUCCUAGUUUCAAGCUUGUUAAGCUUAAAACACAUGGAAUAUCGAUUAGUGAUAGGUCAUCGUGUCUUUGGUUGAUGAAGGUCGUUCAAUGAUGCAUCAGUUUGAUUGUGUUCUCGCAUCGUUCGGUGCAUUCUGGGGUCAUUUUGGCUAUUAGAUGCUUGCCUGGCAUUUGAGCUUGGUGGGUGGCUGUUAGUUGGGUGAUUUCGGGGAUGUCUACCGUAAAGGUGCAUGAGUGGUGUUUGGUUUGUUACGGGUGGUUGGCUCUUUGCUUGUGCAACAACUUCCACCUGGCAUACCUCUUCAGUCUUGUGUCAAUGCUUGUAUCGCAUUGAAUGCACGGUGGGUUUCUUGUGUUGCGUACCCAAUUGAUGGUAUCAUUUGAAGAAUUGAUGUCCAUUUUUGUCUUAUGUCGCACGUGCGAUGCGAGAUGAACCUUGAAGCAGCCUUUGUGUUCCACUCUUUCGAUGCACACACAUUGAUUUUGUGGCCCAUUGAGUGUUGCUUGGUCUCAUGGAUAUGGAACCUGGUGUGGGCAUGAGAUCUUUUACUAGUUCCUUGUUUGCCCUAUUUUAGUUUUUCUAAAACGAUUGUCUAUCAUGUUUUAAUGUGGUAGGCUAUAUCGAAUAUGAAUGCUACC